GCUGGUGAGUUGGCGAGCAGACUCGCAAUGCGUAGGUCCGGGGUUCAAAUCCCCGCUCCGGCUCCA
rnacentral:tRNA from 1 species